AGCUACCCCAGCGCAGGAGAUUGAAGAGGUGGUGCCGUUCAUUCCACCGCAGGAGGAUGCAGCCCUGGAGCGCACACGGGAGCAGGAACGCACCCGUGGCCUCUUCCGCAGCACAGCGCAGAUUGUUGGCAAAUUCAUGAAGAGGAUUCGGGAG